ACACGUGAAACCCUGUGGGAAGCAGGAGGGACCACCCUCCAAGGCUAAAUACUACCUAGUGACCGAUAGCGUAUAGUACCGUGAGGGAAAGGUGAAAAGAACCCCGGGAGGGGAGUGAAAUAGAACCUGAAACCCUGCACUUACAAGCUGUGGAAGCACAUUUCUUGUGUGACCGCGUACUUUUUGUAGAACGGGCCAACGAGUUACGUUAAGUAGCAAGGUUAAGCACUUAAGGUGUGGAGCCGUAGCGAAAGCGAGUUUUAACUGAGCGUUCAGUUACUUGACGUAGACCCGAAACCGGGCGACCUACCCAUGAGCAGGAUGAAGCGAAAGUAAAAUUUCGUGGAGGUCCGAACCCACGAGCGUUGAAAAGCUCGGGGAUGACUUGUGGGUAGCGGUGAAAUUCCAAUCGAGCCCGGAGAUAGCUGGUUCUCCCCGAAAUAGCUUUAGGGCUAGCCUCAAGGUGAGAGAUACGGAGGUAGAGCACUGAAUGUCCUAGGGGGUAUUGCACCUACCGAAGACUAUCAAACUCCGAAUGCCGUCAUCUUAUACUUGGGAGUCAGACUGUGGGUGAUAAGAUUCAUAGUCGAAAGGGCAACAGCCCAGAUCGUCAGCUAAGGUCCCUAAAUGUAAGUUAAGUGGUAAAGGAUGUGGGAUUGCACAGACAACCAGGAUGUUGGCUUAGAAGCAGCCACUCAUUCAAAGAGUGCGUAAUAGCUCACUGGUCGAGUGAUCCUGCGCCGAAGAUUUCCGGGGCUAAAACUUACUACCGAAGCUACGGCAUCAGUAAUGA
rnacentral:rRNA from 1 species